CAGUACGGCCGCAAGGUUAAAACUCAAAUGAAUUGACGGGGGCCCGCACAAGCGGUGGAGCAUGUGGUUUAAUUCGAUGCAACGCGAAGAACCUUACCUACUCUUGACAUCCAGCGAAUCCUGUAGAGAUACGGGAGUGCCUUCGGGAACGCUGAGACAGGUGCUGCAUGGCUGUCGUCAGCUCGUGUUGUGAAAUGUUGGGUUAAGUCCCGCAACGAGCGCAACCCUUAUCCUUUGUUGCCAGCGGUUCGGCCGGGAACUCAAAGGAGACUGCCAGUGAUAAACUGGAGGAAGGUGGGGAUGACGUCAAGUCAUCAUGGCCCUUACGAGUAGGGCUACACACGUGCUACAAUGGCGUAUACAAAGAGAAGCGAACUCGCGAGAGCAAGCGGACCUCAUAAAGUACGUCGUAGUCCGGAUUGGAGUCUGCAACUCGACUCCAUGAAGUCGGAAUCGCUAGUAAUCGUGGAUCAGAAUGCC
rnacentral:rRNA from 2 species